UUACGACCAUAUGACUUUGAAAACUGCGGUUCCUUUACGAUCCCCGAAGUUAAGCAACAUCGUGCCUGGUUAGUACCUCGGGUGGUGACCGCUUGGGAAUUAC